AGCAGGAAGUCGUGGGCGCAGGGAAUGGCGUGCUGGGGAACGGGGACACGGUCCCACAACUGGAGGAACAUUCUAGAAUGCUGAAUUGAAGUGUACGCCUAUGACCUUAUUUACCUGGCCGCUUGUUUAUACAAUACGCACCACGCUUCAGAAGCCCAUCUGCAUUGCCACCUCCUGAAAUGAGACAGGCUGGUUUGGCUGAACGGACCUGUCAGGACUAGAUGGUUGUGUUGGAUGCAACGACUCUGUAUGAAGACGAUGCUGCUUUGGGAUUCCAGCCUACCGCUACUUUGGAAGAAGCAGGCCUCAGCUGUGUUUCAGCUCCAAGCCCAGAAAAGCAGCAAGACCAGGUGGGCGAUACCAGAAACAGCUGCAAUGACUAACGCCCCCCUGGCCUGCCACUACUGACCAAUCAGAGGAGACGAUGACCCCGAAGGGGCGCACCUGGAGAACCGAUGCAUCGUCUGCAGCAACCCUCGCCUGGGACCUCGUCUGGCAUUCCUUCCUGCGGGAGGGAGACAAAAGCCUCAAGUCAGAGGGCCCAGCGCGCACUCUCCCUCUGGGGAGCAGCCUGCGCUGUUCCCUUCCCUUCCCUUCUCCUCCCCCACUUCUGUCUUCACAGGCCCGUCGUGUCUCCUGAGCUCUAAGGCAGUGGGCAGCCGAGCUCACCCCUGAACUUGCCCCCAGAGCCCCCCUUUCUCUGACUUUCUGGGGAGCAAAGACCACCCAGCCCAGGCUGACCCGUUGCUUCUCCUACGCUGAGCCCUCCCCUGUCUCACCAUCCCCAGCUUCAACAAAAGUCCCCUCGUAGUCGCCUGGACUCUUGUUGGGGGACUUUUGUACACGGAGCCAGGAACCCACACCCUCCAGCAGACCCUGAAUGGGCUGCCUCGGGCCCCCCGGAGGGUGUGGGUUCCUGACUCCAUCUGCUCAGGGCUCAGGGCAGCCCCCUCGUCCCGUGACAGGUCCAACCCUGUGGCGGGGGCAGUGACCGGGGCAGGGGCUUGGGGAUGCAGCAGCGGUCCCGUUGCUCUGAGUGGGCACCGCAUCGCAGGCCUGGGGACCGGACCUGGGCUCUAGGCCGGAGACUCUCAAAUGCUUCAGUCUCGGGGCCCUUUGCUCUCGGUUAUUGAAGGAAAGGGCGGCAGCUGCUGGGUCCUGCCUAGUGACCGCAGCCGAACGGGAAAUUAAAACCGACAUGUUUAUUAGUUCCUUUGCAAGCUACUCGUUAAAAUCACAGUAAUUCAUUAAAAUGGAAAACUGGGGUCCGUUAAGCAACUAUAAACAAAGUAAAUGAUAAUAUAUCAUUUAGGUAUGAAAAAUAGGUUUGAAAAUAAAUUAGUAUUUAAAGUA